rnacentral:rRNA from 1 species
AUUGAACGCUGGCGGCAGGCUUAACACAUGCAAGUCGAGCGGGGAAAGGUAGCUUGCUACCUGACCUAGCGGCGGACGGGUGAGUAAUGCUUAGGAAUCUGCCUAUUAGUGGGGGACAACACCUCGAAAGGGAUGCUAAUACCGCAUACGUCCUACGGGAGAAAGCAGGGGACCUUCGGGCCUUGCGCUAAUAGAUGAGCCUAAGUCGGAUUAGCUAGUUGGUGGGGUAAAGGCCUACCAAGGCGACGAUCUGUAGCGGAUCUGAGAGGAUGAUCCGCCACACUGGGACUGAGACACGGCCCAGACUCCUACGGGAGGCAGCAGUGGGGAAUAUUGGACAAUGGGGGGAACCCUGAUCCAGCCAUGCCGCGUGUGUGAAGAAGGCCUUUUGGUUGUAAAGCACUUUAAGCGAGGAGGAGGCUACCGAGAUUAAUACUCUUGGAUAGUGGACGUUACUCGCAGAAUAAGCACCGGCUAACUCUGUG